rnacentral:rRNA from 1 species
GACAGAGGGUGCAAACGUUGUUCGGAAUUACUGGGCGUAAAGCGCGUGUAGGCGGUCCGGAAAGUCGGGUGUGAAAGCCCUGGGCUCAACCCAGGAAGUGCACUCGAAACUCCCAGACUAGAGUCCCGGAGAGGAAGGCGGAAUUCUCGGUGUAGAGGUGAAAUUCGUAGAUAUCGAGAGGAACAUCGGUGGCGAAGGCGGCCUUCUGGACGGUGACUGACGCUGAGACGCGAAAGCGUGGGGAGCAAACAGG